rnacentral:rRNA from 1 species
CCGCGUGAGGGAGGAAGGCCUUUGGGUUGUAAACCUCUUUUCUCAGGGAAGAAGAUCUGACGGUACCUGAGGAAUAAGCAUCGGCUAACUCCGUGCCAGCAACCCGCGGUAAUACGGAGGAUGCAAGCGUUAUCCGGAAUUAUUGGGCGUAAAGCGUCUGUAGGUUGCCUAGCAAGUCUAUUGUUAAAGGUUAAAGCUUAACUUUAAAACUGCAGUAGAAACUGCUGAGCUUGAGUACAGUCGAAGUAGAGGGAAUUUCCAGUGAAGCGGUGAAAUGCGUAGAUAUUGAAGGAACACCAAUGGCGAAAGCACUCUACUAGGCUUUUACUGACACUCAGAGACGAAAGCUAGGGUAGCA